AACGAACGCUGGCGGCAGGCUUAACACAUGCAAGUCGAACGCCCCGCAAGGGGAGUGGCAGACGGGUGAGUAACGCGUGGGAAUCUACCCAGAUCUUCGGAACAACUGAGGGAAAAUUCAGCUAAUACCGGAUACGCCCUACGGGGGAAAGAUUUAUCGGUUCUGGAUGAGCCCGCGUUGGAUUAGCUAGUUGGUGAGGUAACGGCUCACCAAGGCGACGAUCCAUAGCUGGUCUGAGAGGAUGAUCAGCCACACUGGGACUGAGACACGGCCCAGACUCCUACGGGAGGCAGCAGUGGGGAAUAUUGGACAAUGGGCGAAAGCCUGAUCCAGCCAUGCCGCGUGAGUGAUGAAGGCCUUAGGGUUGUAAAGCUCUUUCAGUAGGGAAGAUAAUGACGGUACCUACAGAAGAAGCCCCGGCUAACUUCGUGCCAGCCGCCGCCGUAAUAC
rnacentral:rRNA from 1 species